CACGUAGGGUGCGAGCGUUGUCCGGAAUUAUUGGGCGUAAAGAGCUCGUAGGCGGUGUGUCGCGUCGGCCGUGAAAACCUGCAGCUUAACUGUGGGCUUGCGGUCGAUACGGGCAUCACUGGAGUUCGGCAGGGGAGACUGGAAUUCCUGGUGUAGCGGUGAAAUGCGCAGAUAUCAGGAGGAACACCGGUGGCGAAGGCGGCAUCCUGGACCAUAACUGACGCUGAGGCGCGAAAGCUAGGGGAGCAAACGGG
rnacentral:rRNA from 1 species